rnacentral:ncRNA from 1 species
UAAGUGGGUAGAAGCGUUCAGUUGAUACGCGGCCGCGCAAGCGCCACGGUUCGACAGGAGAUUGCUCACUGG